AUACUACUCCCUACAACCUCUUCAAUAGAGGAAUGUUGUAGAGGGAUUUGGGAGUCUGUGCAGUGAAUAUACUGCUCUCCUUAAAUGAAUUAGCAGUGAUUAUUAAAGAUCCCUUUGGUUGAUGUGAUAGUUAUCUCCUCUCAGCCCUUCUUUGAAUAGUCAUUUCUGCUUAAAGUUGUCUUUGCUAAAGAGACAGUUACAAC
rnacentral:misc_RNA from 1 species